GACGAACGCUGGCGGCGUGCCUAAUACAUGCAAGUCGAACGAAGUGGGGACGGGUGAGUAACACGUGGGUAACCUCCCAUCAGAGGGGAUAACACUUGGAAACAGGUGCUAAACCGAUACUGAUGGAUGGACCCGCGGUGCAGUAGCUAGUUGGUGAGGGAACGGCCCACCGAGGCCACGAUGCAUAGCCGGCCUGAUGGGCUGAUCGGCCACACUGGAACUGAGACACGGCCCAGACUCCUACGGUAGGCAGCAGUGGGGAAUCUGCGGCUAUGGACGAAAGUCUGACCGAGCGACGCCGCGUGAGUGAAGAAGGUUUGCGGAUCGUAGAGCUCUGUUGUUAGGGAGGCGGUAUCUAACCAGAAAGCCACGGCUAACUACGUGCCAGCAGCCGCGGUAAUAC
rnacentral:rRNA from 1 species